AUUGAACGCUGGCGGCAGGCCUAACACAUGCAAGUCGAACGAGUGGCGGACGGGUGAGUAAUGUCUGGGAAACUGCCCGAUGGAGGGGGAAAACUACUGGAAACGGUCGCUAAUACCGCAUACCAUCGGAUGUGCCCAGAUGGGAUUAGCUAGUAGGUGGGGUAACGGCUCACCUAGGCGACGAUCCCUAGCUGGUCUGCGAGGAGGACCAGCCACACUGGAACUGAGACACGGUCCAGACUCCUACGGGAGGCAGCAGUGGGGAAUAUUGCACAAUGGGCGCAAGCCUGAUGCAGCCAUGCCGCGUGUAUGAAGAAGGCCUUCGGGUUGUAAAGAACUUUCAGCGAGGAGGCGUUACUCGCAGAAGAAGCACCGGCUAACUCCGUGCCAGCAGCCGCGGUAAUUC
rnacentral:rRNA from 1 species